UAACUUCAGAGACUUGCUAUGAAGUCAGCAGAGAUGGAGAAGUAUCUAAGAGGCCAAUCUAACCCAUAUGUGCAUUUAUUUCAGCUGCCAUGAGACAUCCUUUGCAGAGGCACAAGUGUCUCUAUUGACUGCAGAACCAGUAUAAUGACUGCUUUGGACCAGACAUCAAAUUCAUUAAUUGCACAGCGCACAGCCUUGCACUGUCAAAAAUGUCACAGGUUAAUGGUACAACUGAGCUCCAUUUAUCUUAUUCUGACAGCUUGUCCAAUGUUGUACGUCUAGCAAUGGCAUCUCUCCUAAAGUAAGUGACAUUUU
rnacentral:lncRNA from 1 species